rnacentral:rRNA from 1 species
GACGUAGGGGGCGAGCGUUGUCCGGAAUUAUUGGGCGUAAAGGGCUCGUAGGCGGUUUGUCGCGUCGGGAGUGAAAACAUCCAGCUUAACUGGGUGCUUGCUUUCGAUACGGGCAGACUAGAGGUAUGCAGGGGAGAACGGAAUUCCUGGCGUAGCGGUGAAAUGCGCAGAUAUCAGGAGGAACACCGGUGGCGAAGGCGGUUCUCUGGGCAUGAUCUGACGCUGAGGAGCGAAAGUGUGGGGAGCGAACAGG